rnacentral:misc_RNA from 1 species
AACGCACAUUGCGCCCACUAGUAUUCUGGUGGGCAUGCCUGUUCGAGCGUCAUUUCAACCCUCAGGCUUCUUCUAUAGUCUGGUGUUGGGGCUAUUUACGGCGUUCAGCUGUAAGCCCUGAAAGCGAGUGGCGGGUCUGUCAUCGCCCCGAGCGCAGUACAACUUACAAACGCUUAGGGAGUGUGGACGGGUCCUGGCCGUUAAAUAUAUAGGGGCUUCCGGCCUCUAUAUCUUCUACAAGGUUGACCUCGGAUCAGGUAGGAAUACCCGCUGAACUUAAG